AUUCCAGCUCCAAUAGCGUAUAUUAAAGUUGUUGCGGUUAAAAAGCUCGUAGUUGGAUUUCUGCUAGGGACGAUCGGUCCACCCACUGGGUGUGUAUCUGUGUCGGCCUUGGCAUCUUCCUGGCGAACGCAACUGCACUUGACUGUGUGGUGCGGUAUCCAGGACUUUUACUUUGAGGAAAUUAGAGUGUUUCAAGCAGGCGCACGCCUUGAAUACAUUAGCAUGGAAUAAUAAGAUAGGACCUGCGUUCUAUUUUGUUGGUUUCUAGAGCUGAGGUAAUGAUUAAUCGGGGUAGUUGGGGGCAUUCGUAUUUAACAGUCGGAGGUGAAAUUCUUGGAUUUAUUGAAGACGAACUACUGCGAAAGCAUUUACCAAGGAUGUUUUCAUCG
rnacentral:rRNA from 1 species